rnacentral:rRNA from 1 species
UGAAUUGACGGGGCCGCACAAGCGGUGGAGCAUGUGGUUAAUUCGACGCAACGCGAAGAACCUUACCAGGGCUUGACAUCCCCUGACCGCGUAUGAAAGUACGUUUUCACCCUCGGGUGACAGGGAGACAGGUGGUGCAUGGUUGUCGUCAGCUCGUGUCGUGAGAUGUUGGGUUAAGUCCCGCAACGAGCGCAACCCCUAUUGUUAGUUGCCAUCAUUCAGUUGGGCACUCUAGCGAGACUGCCGGUAAUAAACCGGAGGAAGUGGGGAUGACGUCAAAUCAUCAUGCCCCUUAUGACCUGGGCUACACACGUGCUACAAUGGCUGGUACAACGAGUUGCGAGUCGGUGACGGCGAGCUAAUUUCUUAAAGCCAAUCUCAGUUCGGAUUGUAGGCUGCAACUCGCCUACAUGAAGUCGGAAUCGCUAGUAAUCGCGGAUCAGCACGCCGCGGUGAAUACGUUCCCGGGCCUU